rnacentral:rRNA from 1 species
AGUGAACGCUGGCGGUAGGCCUAACACAUGCAAGUCGAACGGCAGCACAGUAAGAGCUUGCUCUUACGGGUGGCGAGUGGCGGACGGGUGAGGAAUACAUCGGAAUCUACUUUUUCGUGGGGGAUAACGUAGGGAAACUUACGCUACUACCGCAUACGACCUACGGGUGAAAUCAGGGGAUCUUCGGACCUUGCGCGAUUGAAUGAGCCGAUGUCGGAUUAGCUAGUUGGCGGGGUAAAGGCCCACCAAGGCGACGAUCCGUAGCUGGUCUGAGAGGAUGAUCAGCCACACUGGAACUGAGACACGGUCCAGACUCCUACGGGAGGCAGCAGUGGGGAAUAUUGGACAAUGGGCGCAAGCCUGAUCCAGCCAUACCGCGUGGGUGAAGAAGGCCUUCGGGUUGUAAAGCCCUUUUGUUGGGAAAGAAAAGCAGCAGGUUAAUACCCCGCUGUUCUGACGGUACCCAAAGAAUAAGCACCGGCUAACUUCGUG